GUUAUUGUAGCUUAUAACUUAAAGCAUAGUACUGAAAAUACUAAAAUGGACCUACUGCGCCCAAAAACA
rnacentral:tRNA from 1 species